rnacentral:misc_RNA from 1 species
UGCGCGUCGGGAACUCGACGAUGACAAGGAGGUCGGCCUCGUCUGCGAGGACCUUCGUUUCCGGGCGAAGACUUUUCGGUUUUACCGCAGGAGCGGCCCCGCCGCUUCCAUCCUGGACCUCAGCUCAGGCGUGACUACCCGCUGAAUUUAAGCAUAUCAAUAA